AGUGAACGCUGGCGGUAGGCCUAACACAUGCAAGUCGAACGGCAGCACAGUAAGAGCUUGCUCUUACGGGUGGCGAGUGGCGGACGGGUGAGGAAUACAUCGGAAUCUACUUUUUCGUGGGGGAUCACGUAGGGAAACUUACUCUAAUACCGCAUACGACCUACGGGUGAAAGCAGGGGAUCUUCUGACCUUGCGCGAUUGAAUGAGCCGAUGUCGGAUUAGCUAGUUGGCGGGGUAAAGGCCCACCAAGGCGACGAUCCGUAGCUGGUCUGAGAGGAUGAUCAGCCACACUGGAACUGAGACACGGUCCAGACUCCUACGGGAGGCAGCAGUGGGGAAUAUUGGACAAUGGGCGCAAGCCUGAUCCAGCCAUACCGCGUGGGUGAAGAAGGCCUUCGGGUUGUAAAGCCCUUUUGUUGGGAAAGAAAAGCAGCAGGUUAAUACCCCGCUGUUCUGACGGUACCCAAAGAAUAAGCACCGGCUAACUUCGUG
rnacentral:rRNA from 1 species